rnacentral:rRNA from 1 species
UAAAAUAAUUAAGGGCACAUAGGGAAUGCCUAGGUAGUAAGAGCCGAUGAAGGACGUGGUAAGCUGCGAUAAGCUCAGGGAAGUUGCAAUCGAACGUUGAUCCUGAGAUUUCCGAAUGGAGCAAUCCGCUAAGUUGAAGACUUAGCACGAAAGAGGGUACCGCGUGAACUGAAACAUCUAAGUAACGCGAGGAAAAGAAAGUAAAAACGAUUCCCCAAGUAGCGGCGAGCGAACGGGGAUGAGCCCAAACCGUAUAAAUGUCAAGGAUGCAGCCGUUGUUUAUACGGGGUUGUGGGAAGAACUACGAGGAACUGCAACGUACUCAACAAUGUUAAUGACCGAACUGGAACUAGUUGGAAAGCUAGAUCGUAGAAGGUGAUAAUCCUGUACAGGUAAACUCAUUAACUUGUCCGUUCUCUCCCAAGUAACAUGGAACACGAGGAAUUCUGUGUGAAUCUGCGAGGACCAUAUCUCGUAAGGCUAAAUACUCUUACUAACCGAUAGCGUAUAGUACCGUGAGGGAAAGGUGAAAAGAACCCCGGGAGGGGAGUGAAAUAGAACCUGAAACUAUGUGCUUACAAGCGGUCAGAGCCCGCAAGGGUGAUGGCGUGCCUUUUGGAGAAUGAUCCUGCGAGUUACGUUCAGUGGCGAGGUUAAGUAUAACGGAGCCGAAGGGAAACCGAGUCUGAACAGGGCGAUUUUAGUCGCUGGGCGUAGACGCGAAACCUGGUGAUCUAAGCCUGUCCAGGGUGAAGCUGUGGUAAGACACAGUGGAGGCCCGAACUCACCGCCGUUGAAAAGUUGGGAGAUGAGAUAGGUUUAGGGGUGAAAAGCCAAUCGAACUAGGAGAUAGCUCGUUCUCUCCGAAAUGCAUUUAGGUGCAGCCUUGAGUGUUUAAUUAUGGGGGUAGAGCACUGAAUGGACUAGGGGGCAUAUUGCUUACUGAAUCCAAUCAAACUCCGAAUACCAUAAUUCUAAGCUCAGGAGUGAGACUAUGGGAAUUAACUUCCAUUGUCAAAAGGGAAACAGCCCAGACCACCAGCUAAGGUCCCUAAUCAUAACUAAGUGGGAAAGGAGGUGGAGAUUCAUAAACAACCAGGAGGUUGGCUUAGAAGCAGCCAUACCUAAAAAGAGUGCGUAAUAGCUCACUGGUCGAGAGUCUCUGCGCCGACAAUGUAACGGGGCUAAGUUAUGAACCGAAGCUGUGGAAUUGCGCAAGCAAUUGGUAGGAGAGCGUUCUGUAGGCCGUUGAAGGAGAAACGUAAGUAACUCUGGAGGUAUCAGAAGUGAGAAUGCAGGAAUAAGUAGCGAGAAGGGAGGCGAGAAUCCUCCCCGCCGGAAGACCAAGGUUUUCAGGGUAAAGCUUGUCUUCCCUGAGUAAGCCGGGACCUAAGCCGAGGCUAUAGUGCGUAGGCGAAUGGAAAACAGAUUAAUAUUUCUGUGCCAGUCAUAUUUUGUGAUGGAGGGACGCAGAAGGGUAUGUACGCGGAAGAACGGUAGUUUCCGUAAAAGCAUGUAGAAUGACUUGAUAGGCAAAUCCGUCAAGUUAGAUUUGAGGUGUGAUAUAUAGUCGUAAGAUGAAUGUACAAAUCCCACGCUGCCGAGAAAAGCUUCUAACGUUAAGGUAUGACUGCCCGUACCCGAAACCGACACAGGUGGUCAGGAUGAGAAAUCUAAGGCGGACAGGCUAACUCUCGUUAAGGAACUCUGCAAAAUUGCCCCGUAACUUCGGGAGAAGGGGUGCCCCUGAGUGUUAACAUACACGCGAUGUAAAGCGCUUGGGGGUCGCAGUGAAGAGGCUCAAGCAACUGUUUAACAAAAACACAGGUCUAUGCUAAGCUGUAAGGCGAUGUAUAUGGGCUGACACCUGCCCAGUGCCGGAAGGUUAAGAGGAGGAGUGAGAGCUCCGAAUUGAAGCCCCGGUGAACGGCGGCCGUAACUAUAACGGUCCUAAGGUAGCGAAAUUCCUUGUCGGGU